rnacentral:rRNA from 1 species
AGAAAAGCAGGGGAUCGCAAGACCUUGCGCUCUUGGAGCGGCCGAUGUCUGAUUAGCUAGUUGGUGAGGUAAAGGCUUACCAAGGCGACGAUCAGUAGCUGGUCUGAGAGGACGACCAGCCACACUGGGACUGAGACACGGCCCAGACUCCUACGGGAGGCAGCAGUGGGGAAUUUUGGACAAUGGGGGAAACCCUGAUCCAGCCAUGCCGCGUGAGUGAAGAAGGCCUUCGGGUUGUAAAGCUCUUUCAGCCGGAACGAAACGGUCACGGCUAAUACCUGUGAUCACUGACGGUACCGGAAGAAGAAGCACCGGCUAACUACGUGCCAGCAGCCGUGGUAAUACGUAGGGUGCAAGCGUUAAUCGGAAUUACUGGGCGUAAAGCGUGCGCAGGCGGUUUUGUAAGUCAGAUGUGAAAUCCCCGGGCUUAACCUGGGAACUGCGUUUGAAACUACAAGGCU